AGUCCUUUACUGACGCUAAAGCUCGAAGGUGCGGGUAUCGAACAGGAUUAGAUACCCUGGUAGUCCGCACGGUAAACGAUGGAUGCCCGCUGUUUGCGAUAUAGUGUGAGCGGCCAAGCGAAAGCGUUAAGCAUCCCACCUGGGGAGUACGCCGGCAACGGUGAAACUCAAAGGAAUUGACGGGGGCCCGCACAAGCGGAGGAACAUGUGGUUUAAUUCGAUGAUACGCGAGGAACCUUACCCGGGCUUGAACUGCCGGCGAACGAUACAGAGAUGUUGAGGCCCUUCGGGGCGCCGGUGGAGGUGCUGCAUGGUUGUCGUCAGCUCGUGCCGUGAGGUGUCGGCUUAAGUGCCAUAACGAGCGCAACCCCUCUCUUCAGUUGCCAUCACUUCGGGUGGGCACUCUGGAGACACUGCCACCGUAAGGUGUGAGGAAGGUGGGGAUGACGUCAAAUCAGCACGGCCCUUACGUCCGGGGCUACACACGUGUUACAAUGGGUGGUACAGAGCGUCGGCCGCCGGCAACGUCGGUCCAAUCGUGAAAUCCAUCCUCAGUUCGGACUGGGGUCUGCAACCCGACCCCACGAAGCUGGAUUCGCU
rnacentral:rRNA from 1 species